rnacentral:sRNA from 1 species
AAGGAUCAUUACCGAGUGUAGGGUUCCUAGCGAGCCCAACCUCCCACCCCUGUUUACUGUACCUUAGUUGCUUCGGCGGGCCCGCCAUUCAUGGCCGCCGGGGGCUCUCAGCCCCGGGCCCGCGCCCGCCGGAGACACCACGAACUCUGUCUGAUCUAGUGAAGUCUGAGUUGAUUGUAUCGCAAUCAGUUAAAACUUUCAACAAUGGAUCUCUUGGUUCCGGCAUCGAUGAAGAACGCAGCGAAAUGCGAUAACUAGUGUGAAUUGCAGAAUUCCGUGAAUCAUCGAGUCUUUGAACGCACAUUGCGCCCGCUGGUAUUCCGGGGGGCAUGCCUGUCCGAGCGUCAUUGCUGCCCAUCAAGCACGGCUUGUGUGUUGGGUCGUCGUCCCCUCUCCGGGGGGGACGGGCCCCAAAGGCAGCGGCGGCACCGCGUCCGAUCCUCGAGCGUAUGGGGCUUUGUCACCCGCUCUGUAGGCCCGGCCGGCGCUUGCCGAACGCAAAUCAAUCUUUUUCCAGGUUGACCUCGGAUCAGGUAGGGAUACCCGCUGAACUUAA